AGAUCUAGGGAGUGGGAGAGGUAGACGGUACUCGGUAGGAAGGGGUAAAAUCCUUUGAUCUAUUGAUGACCACCUGUGGCGAAGGCGGUCUACCAGAACACGUCCGACGGUGAGGGAUGAAAGCUGGGGGAGCAAACCGGAUUAGAUACCCGGGUAGUCCCAGCUGUAAACUAUGCAAACUCAGUGAUGCAUUGGCUUGUGGCCAAUGCAGUGCUGCAGGGAAGCCGUUAAGUUUGCCGCCUGGGAAGUACGUACGCAAGUAUGAAACUUAAAGGAAUUGGCGGGGGAGCACCACAAGGGGUGAAGCCUGCGGUUCAAUUGGAGUCAACGCCAGAAAUCUUACCCGGAGAGACAGCAGAAUGAAGGUCAAGCUGAAGACUUUACCAGACAAGCUGAGAGGCGGUGCAUGGCCGUCGUCAGCUCGUACCGUAAGGCGUUCUGUUAAGUCAGAUAACGAGCGAGACCCUUAUCCGCAAUUGCUAUCCGGUCCUCCGGGAUCGGAGCACAUUGCGGAGACCGCUGGUGCUAAACCAGAGGAAGGAUAGGGCAACGGUAGGUCAGUAUGCCCCGAAUUCUCCGGGCUACACGCGCGCUACAAAGGGCCGGACAGUGGGUAUCGACACCGAGAGGUGGAGGCAAUCCCGAAACCGGUCCAUAGUUUGGAUCGAGGGUGCAACUCGCCCUCGUGAAAC
rnacentral:rRNA from 1 species